rnacentral:misc_RNA from 1 species
AUGCCCUUUAACUCCACUAGAGGUAAUCCAAAUAUUCUCUUUCUCUUGUUGGUUUUGAUGAAUAGAAUUUUUCAUCUUUAUAAUGCUCAGUUCAGGCUUUGUUGUAGGAUGCAUGCAACAAUCCUAGUAAAGUUACACUCUUUAGAAAAUCAAUGGCAACUUGUGAAAGUAUUGGCUUCUGUAAUGCUAAAGAUGCGUUGUAAAGAUUUGCGUGAUGGUCUAGAAAUCAAUGUUAUUGGAUGAAGUUCAUCUGAUUCUGUUACCUUUGCUUAGUGAAUAUAAUACCUAAAUUUUGGCAAUCUAAGAGUUCAUUAUAAAUGAAAGCUGUAAUGUUCCCUGCACAUGCACAGCACCGAAAAAAGGGAAAGAACCAUGGUGUGCCUGAGCAAUGAAGAAAUAGGACUCCUGAUGUAAUGAACGUCAGCCAUUUGAGUAAGAUUUUUGGUAGUCAUUCCAUUUUUUUCACUUGUGAAAUUUCUCAGCUAUAGCGUACAUGGAAGAUCAUGACUUCCUUCUUGUAUUGACUUGAUUGUAUUGUUUUUUGAAUUACAAGCUCCUGUAUACUUGGUGUGAAGAAACAACAUUAGAAUUUUGGUUCUAUUUCUCUUCUUCUUGAUAAAAACAAGAAGUGAAAAUUCUAGCCUAUGCAACACUGAUCUCUGUGGUUGGUUUUGCAGGUGGGAAUGAUGCUUAGGGGCA